GACGAACGUUGGCGGCGUGCUUAAUACAUGCAAGUCAACUGAAGCAGUGGUAGCAAUCUCGCUGUGGAGGUGGCGCACGGGUGAGUAACACGUAGGUAAUCUGCCUUCAGGUCUGGCAUAACUCCGGGAAACCGGGGCUAAUAGCAGAUGAUGCAGCGGCUCGACAUCGAGACAGUUGUUAAAGCUAUGGCGCCUGAAGAUGAGCCUGCGUCUGAUUAGCUAGUUGGCGGGGUAACGGCCCACCAAGGCAACGAUCAGUAGCUGGUCUGAGAGGAUGAUCAGCCACACUGGAACUGAGACACGGUCCAGACUCCUACGGGAGGCAGCAGUAAGGAAUAUUGCUCAAUGGGAGAAAUCCUGAAGCGGCAACGCCGCGUGAGGGACGAAGGGCUUUUGCUUGUAAACCUCUGUAGUGAGAGAAAAAAAUCCCAAUCUUUGGGACAUGAUGGUAGCUCAAAAGUAAGCCCCGGCUAACUACGUG
rnacentral:rRNA from 1 species